rnacentral:misc_RNA from 1 species
CUACUGCUGCUGGGCUCGCAGUGGCUAGAGCCUGCUCUGGCAACAAAGACCAGGGGCGAUCGUACUUCCCGUCGAAGGAAAGUACUCGUACAAGUUAGGCUCCGAUCGGCGAACUUGAGGAUAAAAGAGGGAGGGUAAACUAAGCGCAAAUAACCGGAUUUUACCGUCGACGGUAAAAAAUGGGGAGAUAGAUUUGUGAGGGUAGAGGAUAGGCUAUAGUCCAUCAAAAGACAAAUAACUGCCAAUGGAGGUUUCCCAAUGGACGCGCUCCGAUGUACCAGAAAUUGGAUGUGGAUAAGGGUUUACAAAAAAGCAAGAGAGAGAGAG